rnacentral:rRNA from 1 species
AUUGAACGCUGGCGGCAGGCCUAACACAUGCAAGUCGAACGAGUGGCGGACGGGUGAGUAAUGUCUGGGAAACUGCCUGAUGGAGGGGGAUAACUACUGGAAACGGUAGCUAAUACCGCAUACCAUCAGAUGUGCCCAGAUGGGAUUAGCUAGUAGGUGGGGUAAUGGCUCACCUAGGCGACGAUCCCUAGCUGGUCUGAGAGGAUGACCAGGCACACGAGACUGAAGACACGGUCCAGACUAAUACGGGAGGCAGCGGUGGGGAAUAUUGCACAAUGGGCGCAGGACUGAUGCAGCCAUGCCGCGUGUGUGAAGAAGGCCUUCGGGUUGUAAAGCACUUUCAGCGAGGAGGCGUUACUCGCAGAAGAAGCACCGGCUAACUCCGUGCCAGCAGCCGCGGUAAUUC